CGCCUUAUAAUUUUGUUACCCAUAUAAAAGCUUAUAAUUUUUUUUCAAUCAGAUCGAACCUAUGCUUAUUUUUUUCAAUCAGAUCCGGAAGCCCUAAAACCCUAUAAUUUUGGCAACGAAGAGGAGCUCCAAAAUGGAUCAACCAAUCAAUCAAUUCAAUAAUCACAAAUUAAUGCAGAAGAAGAAAUCGAAGAACUUGAUAGUUUGUUUGAUUACACUCGUAGUUGUUUAGAAAUCAUUCCCCUCGAUGACGAAAAUCCAUUGAUUCAAUCAGAUCCUAAAAGUAUGUAUCGAACUCUACAAGUGGCAAAAUCAAGGCGACUAUGAACAACAAUCAAGGCAACAGCCAAGUGAAUAUUGAAAUCUGUUCUCAAAAGUGAUGGCAGCAGAACUAGUACGUGUUGUAAAAAGUGAAAAUAAGGGUGAGCCUGAAAGGCUGAGGAGGAACGAUUGCCAUUGUGUGCCAAAACAUCAAGAAAGAGGUGACAAAUCCAAUGGGCAUGACAGUUUGGGCAACAAGUUAAGAUGGGUAUAUCACAAAACGUGCAACUUUUAAAUGUGGUUGAAUAUGGAUUGGUUUAGGGUGAACUGACCAGCCACCAUAUUUUUGUCCACUUUUAUGGAAAUAAAUGUGGGUGAAAACGGAUUGGCCCUUUAUCAAUAUAAAUACAAUCCAAAUGAACCCAUUUCAAUAUAAAUGAGUUUGAAAUUGCCUCUUUAAUGCAUUGGGAGUUCACUGAACAAUUGAAUUUUGUGCGCAUACAUUCUUUCAAGAUCAGUUGGUUAUUCAACAGCUGCGUUUGCUCUUGCUGUUCUGGAGGGCAGCACACAAGCAGGUGUAUGGUUUCCAGAAGAGGUGGCUAGCAACUCGUCCCAAAAUGUCGAACUAGAGCUGCACGGAUGACUCGGGUAGUCUUGUUGUAUACCCAGUGGUCGAUGUGGAAGUUGUCAAACUAACUUGUGAAUUAGUAUCGAUAUGUAACUUUUGUCGUUAAUUAACUUGUGACUUAUCGUGAAUUAGUACUUGAAUUAACCUCGUUGUUUAUAUAUAUAUAUAUAUGAAAUGUGUUAUUUUGAUA